rnacentral:lncRNA from 1 species
UUGACAAUGUUGAAUAAUGGUUCACGCGUAGUGAGACAUCCCUAUAUACCCCCAUGGAUACUAGUAAGCAAAUAAAAAAGAAAAAUUGUUAUUCUUGCUUACUUGAAAAUGAUAUUAGAAUGUUAUUUGAAUUAUUGUCUCUAUAGAUCGGUUUGGAAAUCUCGCAACGGUAAGUAUGCAAUAAAUAGUUUUACUUAUGAUAAAUGAAUUUACUU